rnacentral:lncRNA from 1 species
AUACACCCAGCCCCGACCUACUGCAUGGCUCCAGAGAAUUCGGGAGCGAGAGGGAGCAGGAAAAAAGUGGUCUUUGUUGUGAAGCCACAGUCCCAAACUUCAACCUAGAGGAAUGUCAAGUCCUGAAAAAAGCUACGGAGAAGGCUUGCAAUUAUGUCCUUAGUCACAACAAGAGGGUAAGAACGUUCAAGGCACUGGAUUGAGAGACACAAAAGUCAGGAAGUGACCCUUUCGUCGGGAUUUCAGAGGCCGCGGAGUAGAAACAAAGUCCUCUCUCAGCUUGGGGCACUUCGGGCGAUACCAUCCCGAGGGGCAGCGUGGGGGAGGCGGGCGAGCGCCGCGGAAACUGACAUCUGCGUGCUCACCGAGCCGCGAGUAAACUGAGGAUGGCCACGCUGAGAAGACUCGGUGGCCGCGGCUCCCCCGCCCAGAAAUGAAACGGGUUUCGGCCGAUCGUCCCUGUGGAGCCCGCUGAAAAAGAAGCCGGGUCGCCCUGGCCAGAGCCGGCCUCCUGAAUCGCGCCCUGUGCGCGCCGGACCGGGCCGCGCGCCCGAGGCUGCAGGAUGGCGUGCCGGGGCCAGCCCAUCUGCGGCCGCGAGGAAGCCGGCCCGGGAUGAAUGGGGCUUUGUUCGCCGGCCGCCGCGGCUGCCCUCGGCAGGCCCGAUCCGCACAACGGAGGCUGUAUGCGAGAGGAAUGGAAAUGAGCCUCCGGCUCUCCCGAAGGAGCCCCAUCCCCUUCCCUUCGCCGUGCGCAGGAAUGCUGGCAAGCCGGAAAGGAACCCUCGCCGGGAACGCCGCUCUCGCGGCUCUGAAACCCCAUUGAGAAGAGCCCUUUGAUGCAAUUAAAGCGCGUUUCAUUGCAGGCCGGGGAGGAGGGAAGGCCCGUCAAGCUUUUUUUCUGUCUCUGGAGCAUGUGUGUGCACCUUUGUAGGGUGGGUUACUUAGAGAGCAGGCGGCAACUUGAGCUCCCUCUCUCUCGCAGACGUUCUGUAACAUCAUAAAAGCGUACCCAUAAACAGAUUGGUUUUCACCGUGGGUGGAACCCAAUUUGGACACGAUCCAGGCUGACCUGCAGGCUAGAGUGCCUGUUUUGAAAGCCUCCUUGGUACGCCUUACACUACCUUGCCUGCUUUAAAGGUUUAGGAGGACGAGAAAUUGCAUUUGGAGGAGGAAGUUGUUUCUGAGGUCGCUGAUCAUUUUCCAUUUUCUCAGCGGGAAUGGGCCACGUCGCAGGUCCAGAAAUGGUCAGAGCCAGACCUCUAAAAUGAUGGAGGCUGCAAAUGUUGAAGGACUACGGUGCGACAGCUAUUUUGAUAAUCAGAUUCUUCUGUAAGAUUUCCUUAAUUCCUCCAUUGAGACAACUGUGUGGCCCCAGAAAACCCACAUGGCCUCUCUGAGCUUAAUAUUUUUCAUCCGUUGAAAUGAAUCUCAUAAGGCUAGAGAACAGACGUAAAGCUCUGGGUGCUUGUGAAUUCUUUCU